rnacentral:rRNA from 1 species
UACGGGGGGAGCAAGCGUUGUUCGGAUUUACUGGGCGUAAAGGGCGCGUCGGCGGCGUGACAAGUCACUUGUGAAAUCUCCGGGCUUAACUCGGAACGGUCAAGUGAUACUGUCGUGCUAGAGUACAGAAGGGGCAACUGGAAUUCUCGGUGUAGCGGUGAAAUGCGUAGAUAUCGAGAGGAACACCUGCGGCGAAGGCGGGUUGCUGGGCUGAUACUGACGCUGAGGCGCGAAAGCCAGGGGAGCGAACGGG